CCGUGGGACACGCCUCCCCAACGAGGCGCUUCUAUCUGUGAGGAUAGCUACA
rfam:Aureimonas sp. AT20, complete genome.